GGACAGUUAGCUCAGCUGGUAGAGCUUCCGCUUGACGUGCGGAAGGUCAGGGGUUCGAGUCCCUUACUGUCCACCA
rnacentral:tRNA from 1 species